rnacentral:rRNA from 1 species
AAAUUAUUAGUUAUACUAGAUAUUAAAAUUCUUAAAGAAACAUCAUUUGUGUUUAGUAGUGGUGAAGGAAAAUAAUGUUAUAUAUGGCAUAGUACUGUGUAGGAAAUUGUAAAUUUUUUUUUAGUAAAAUUUUAUCUUGUACCUUUUGCAUCAUGGUUUAGCAAGAAAGUUGCUUGGAUUAAAUUUCUCGAAACCUAAAGAGUUACCUUAGUUUUGGUUUAGCCUAAUUGAAUAGUGGGUGUGGCAAAACUCUGUUUAAAAGUUAAGGUAGAAAUUAAAUGUUAUUCGUUUUAGGUGAUAGCUAGUUGUGAUAGAAAAAUAUAUAAGUAUUGGUUACAAUAAUUACUAUAUGUUUGUAUUAUACAUAUAAUGAUUUGUUUUCUUAGUUGUAUGAGGAUAAGCUCGUAUAAAGUUUGUUAGCUAAAAAUAUUAUAUAAAUCUAAGCUUGAUAUUAGCUAUGAUAAUGAAUUUGUUAAAAAUGCAUAUAGGUAUAUAUUUAUAUUAUAUUAGAUUAAUAUCAUUUAAUUAUGUAAUCAAAAUAUAAUUGGUUUAUGCUAAAAUGAGUAUUAAUUACAAGUUAAAAUUAAGAACAAGUUAAAUUAUUCUACUUACAAUUUCGUAUGUAUUAUAAAAUAUAUUUUAGGAAUUCGGCAAAACUUAGCUUCGCCUGUUUAGCAAAAACAUGUCUCUUUGAAAAAUAAGGUAUAAGGAGUCUAGCCUGCCCGG